rnacentral:lncRNA from 1 species
AAAUCAACAUCGGAACGAAUUUUCAGACGAGAAAAGAAAAAGAGAACUAUCUGGCUCUCGAUACCAUAUUUGAAGACUGAAUUGAGUGAAAUGAUUUUAUGAUUAUUUCUCAUUGAUCAUUGUUAUUUAUACAACUUUGAUUUAACAACUCUAACAAACAAUGCAUAACAACUUUUCAGUUGUUUCUGUUAACAUGGGCAAGCAAGUGCCAGUGCGGGAGGGGUCGGUGCCGGUGCUGAACGAACAGGUGCCGAUGCAGGAUGAAUCGAGAGAUAAAACUGAAAUAUAUUUUGGGGAUUGGGUAGUAGAGCUCUCUUACAUUUUAAC